AUUGAACGCUGGCGGCAGGCCUAACACAUGCAAGUCGAGCGGAUGAAGGGAGCUUGCUCCUGGAUUCAGCGGCGGACGGGUGAGUAAUGCCUAGGGAUCUGCCUGGUAGUGGGGGAUAACGUCCGGAAACGGGCGCUAAUACCGCAUACGUCCUGAGGGAGAAAGUGGGGGAUCUUCGGACCUCACGCUAUCAGAUGAGCCUAGGUCGGAUUAGCUAGUUGGUGGGGUAAAGGCCUACCAAGGCGACGACCCGUAACUGGUCUGAGAGGAUGAUCAGUCACACUGGAACUGAGACACGGUCCAGACUCCUACGGGAGGCAGCAGUGGGGAAUAUUGGACAAUGGGCGAAAGCCUGAUCCAGCCAUGCCGCGUGUGUGAAGAAGGUCUUCGGAUUGUAAAGCACUUUAAGUUGGGAGGAAGGGCAGUAAGUUAAUACCUUGCUGUUUUGACGUUACCAACAGAAUAAGCACCGGCUAACUUCGUG
rnacentral:rRNA from 1 species